UGCUUCUAUGACGUUAGCGGCGGACGGGUGAGUAACACGUGGGCAACCUGCCUGUAAGACUGGGAUAACUUCGGGAAACCGAAGCUAAUACCGGAUAGGAUCUUCUCCUUCAUGGGAGAUGAUUGAAAGAUGGUUUCGGCUAUCACUUACAGAUGGGCCCGCGGUGCAUUAGCUAGUUGGUGAGGUAACGGCUCACCAAGGCAACGAUGCAUAGCCGACCUGAGAGGGUGAUCGGCCACACUGGGACUGAGACACGGCCCAGACUCCUACGGGAGGCAGCAGUAGGGAAUCUUCCGCAAUGGACGAAAGUCUGACGGAGCAACGCCGCGUGAGUGAUGAAGGCUUUCGGGUCGUAAAACUCUGUUGUUAGGGAAGAACAAGUACGAGAGUAACUGCUCGUACCUUGACGGUACCUAACCAGAAAGCCACGGCUAACUACGUGCCAGCAGCCGCGGUAAUACGUAGGUGGCAAGCGUUAUCCGGAAUUAUUGGGCGUAAAGCGCGCGC
rnacentral:rRNA from 2 species